rnacentral:rRNA from 1 species
GACGAACGCUGGCGGCGUGCUUAACACAUGCAAGUCGAACGGAAAGGCCCUGCUUUUGUGGGGUGCUCGAGUGGCGAACGGGUGAGUAACACGUGAGUAACCUGCCCUUGACUUUGGGAUAACUUCAGGAAACUGGGGCUAAUACCGGAUAGGAGCUCCUGCUGCAUGGUGGGGGUUGGAAAGUUUCGGCGGUUGGGGAUGGACUCGCGGCUUAUCAGCUUGUUGGUGGGGUAGUGGCUUACCAAGGCUUUGACGGGUAGCCGGCCUGAGAGGGUGACCGGCCACAUUGGGACUGAGAUCCGGCCCGGACUCCUAGGGGAGGCAGCGGUGGGGAAUAUUGCACAAUGGGCGGAAGCCUGAUGCAGCAACGCCGCGUGCGGGAGGACGGCCUUCGGGUUGUAAACCGCUUUCGCCUGUGACGAAGCGUGGGUGACGGUAAUGGGAAAAGAAGAACCGGCUAACACGUG